CAAGUAAGCUGGACAGCCGCGGGGCGAGGCCGAAAGGCCCGUUCUGAGGAAAGUCCGGGCUCCGCAGGGCAAGGAUAACGGGUAACACCCGCCGGGGGCGACCCUAGGAAAAGUGCAACAGAGAUAAACCGCCUUGAACCCGCAAAGCCUUUACGGCGUUGUGGGGAGAGGAGGCACAGCGAAAUGAGUGAGCUCUGCCGCUUGCGGCGGGGCGAGCGGUAUGGAGCUUGUGCCGACGAGGUAAGGGUGGAAAGGCGGAGGUAAGAGCCCGCCCGAUGACGUGGAAGCGCUCAUCGCUGUAAACUCUAUCCGGAGCAACGCCGUGGGAGGACGCAUGACCGGCCCGGUCGUCCUCAGGAGGCGGCUUGAGCGUAUCGGCAACGGUGCGUCGAGAUAGAUGGCUGUCUUAAAAGACAGAACCCGGCUUACAGGCUUGCUUGCAAC
rnacentral:RNase_P_RNA from 17 species